CUGUGGUACUGUUGAGAUGUUAUGGAAGACCAGGAUGCUUCAAUAGCGGCCUUCAGCUCUGCAUUAUUCGGUCUCAUGUCUCUCAUCUUUCUCUUGGCGAUGCCAAGACAGGAAAUUCUCUAGAUGCUGUCUCAUCUAAGAUAUAUCCAUCUAAGUCUUCCUGGAAAGCGGUUACUAGAGAGUCAUUAUUCCAUACAACCUCUGAUGUCAAAGUACAGAACUCAAUAGCAAAAUCUGUUACCUUAGCCUUAGAAUGUUAGUUAUGCAAAAAGGCAGAGUGAGUAUACAAGCUGAGGUCAGAGAAUUACAGAGGUAAGGAAUAACGAUUAAACAAGCCGAGGUCAAAGGAUAAGAUAGAGCAGGAUAAAUGAGAGACAAAAGCCAGUCAAGGUACCAAACAACUAAACAGAAGGAAUGCGCUAUUGGACUACCAAGAAACCACAACAGGGCAACAAGGAAUGGGAG